rnacentral:tRNA from 1 species
GGGGAUUUAGCUCAGUGGUAGAGCGCUUGUCUAGCAAGCACAAGGCUCUGGGUUCGGUCCCCAGCUCCG